rnacentral:rRNA from 1 species
UGGGGAAUAUUGGACAAUGGGCGAAAGCCUGAUCCAGCCAUGCCGCGUGUGUGAAGAAGGUCUUCGGAUUGUAAAGCACUUUAAGUUGGGAGGAAGGGCAUUAACCUAAUACGUUAGUGUUUUGACGUUACCGACAGAAUAAGCACCGGCUAACUCUGUGCCAGCAGCCGCGGUAAUACAGAGGGUGCAAGCGUUAAUCGGAAUUACUGGGCGUAAAGCGCGCGUAGGUGGUUUGUUAAGUUGGAUGUGAAAUCCCCGGGCUCAACCUGGGAACUGCAUUCAAAACUGACUGACUAGAGUAUGGUAGAGGGUGGUGGAAUUUCCUGUGUAGCGGUGAAAUGCGUAGAUAUAGGAAGGAACACCAGUGGCGAAGGCGACCACCUGGACUAAUACUGAACUGAGGUGCGAAAGCGUGGGGAGCAAACA